rnacentral:sRNA from 1 species
UCCGCUUAAUUUCCGUUUCUGGAAAGCGGGGGAACCAACAACUGGCAGCCGAUGUGAGAGUCGGCACUGGUUAUGGGGUGAAUCCUGUUCCGGGUGCAUAAUAUGCAUCCCUACAGGUAGGGCAACUCUCACUGCCCGAAUCCGACAGCUAACCUCGUAAGCGUAUGGAGAGAGGAU